rnacentral:lncRNA from 1 species
GGAAGUCAGGUGUCACGUUGGAGUUGGCCGACCGUUCGGACUGGAGGCGGUAUUUAAGGUAAGAGUGAAGACCUGACGCCACUUUUGCAUGCAAACUCCAUCUUCUUCCUCAAACUCAAUCUUCUGAAAAAUCUCAAAUUCUCCUCCUUCUCUCUAAAACCUCCCUACCUUCUCUCUAGAAUUCUAACCCCUUUUACUGUUCCGAUCACUCUUCAGAUCACACCUGAAGACUUCUGGUGGUCUUCUCUCUCUCUUAAACCGUCCGGUUUUC